rnacentral:rRNA from 1 species
AUUGACCGCUGGCGGCAGGCUUAACACCUGCAAGUCGCGCGAGCGGCGGACGGGUGAGUAAUGUCUGGGAAACUGCCUGAUGGAGGGGGAUAACUACUGGAAACGGUAGCUAAUACCGCAUACCAUCGGAUGUGCCCAGAUGGGAUUAGCUAGUAGGUGGGGUAACGGCUCACCUAGGCGACGAUCCCUAGCUGGUCUGAGAGGAUGACCAGCCACACUGGAACUGAGACACGGUCCAGACUCCUACGGGAGGCAGCAGUGGGGAAUAUUGCACAAUGGGCGCAAGCCUGAGGCAGCCAUGCCGCGUGUAUGAAGAAGGCCUUCGGGUUGUAAAGUACUUUCAGCGAGGAGGCGUUACUCGCAGAAGAAGCACCGGCUAACUCCGUGCCAGCAGCCGCGGUAAUUC